CACGCAGGCGGUUUUGCAAGUCCGAUGUGAAAUACCUGGGCUUAACUCAGGAAACGCGUUGGAAACUGCAAGACUAGAAUCUUGGAGGGGGGGUCGGAAUUCCUAGUGUAGGGGUGAAAUCUGUUGAUAUUAGGAAGAACACCGGUGGCGAAGGCGGACUCCUGGCCGAAGAUUGACGCUGAGGUGCGAAAGCAUAGGGAGCAAACAGGAUUAGAUACCCUGGUAGUCUAUGCUGUAAACGAUGUGCACUUGGUGUUGGGCCGAUUAGGUUCAGUGCCGUAGCUAACGCGAUAAGUGCACCGCCUGGGGAGUAUGCUCGCAAGGGUGAA
rnacentral:rRNA from 1 species